rnacentral:rRNA from 1 species
GUGAAACUGCGAAUGGCUCAUUAAAUCAGUUGUAGUCUAUGUGAUGGCUUUCUACAUGGAUAACUGUGGUAAUUCUAGAACUAAUGCAUGUGUCGAUGCCCAACUUCACAGACAGGUGUUAUUUAUUUCUUCCGGAACCAGCACAGGCUCGACCUGGCUUUCUGGCGAUACAGAGUAACUGAAUGAAUUGUGUGGCUUCAGCCGGUGAUGGAUCAUUCCAGUUUCUGACCUAUCAGCUUCCGAUGGUAGGGUAUUGGCCUACCCUGGCAAUGACGGGUAACGGAGAAUUAGGGUUUGAUUCCGGAGAGGGAGCCCGAGAAACGGCUACCACAUCUAAGGAAGGCAGCAGGCGCGAAAAUUACCCAAUCCUGACGCAAAGAGGUAGUGACAAGAAAUAACAAUACAGGGCAUUCACGUCUUGUAAUUGGAAUGAUCAAAAUUUACAUCUCUUUUUAAGCAUCGAUUGGAGGGCAAGUCUGGUGCCAGCAGCCGCGGUAAUUCCAGCUCUAAUAGCGUAUAUUAAGGUUGUUGCAGUUAAAAAGCUCGUAGUCGGAUGUCGGGCUCGGGCAAGCUGUCGGCCUUUGGUCGGACGGCAGGCUCGGGUCUUUCUGCCUGAGGAACCCGGUUGCUUUAACGAGCUGCCGGUGGACGCAGGUCGUUUACUUUGAAAAAAUUAGAGUGUUCAAAGCAGGCUAGCGCUUGAAUACAUUAGCAUGGAAUAAUGGAAUAGGACUUUGGUGCUAUUUUGUUGGUUUAUGGGACCGAAGUAAUGACUAACAGGGACAGUUGGGGCCGUUUAUAUUUCGUUGUCAGAGGUGAAAUUCUUGGAU